rnacentral:rRNA from 1 species
CCCUUAGAUGUUCUGGGCCGCACGCGCGCUACACUGACGCAUUCAACGAGUCUCCUUGGCCGAGAGGCCUGGAUAAUCUUGUGAACGUGCGUCGUGAUAGGGAUAGAUUAUUGCAAUUAUUAAUCUUGAACGAGGAAUUCCUAGUAAACGCAGAUCAUCAAUCUGCAUUGAUUACGUCCCUGCCCUUUGUACACACCGCCCGUCGCACCUACCGAUUGGAUGGUCCGGUGAGGCCUCGGGAUUGUGGCCGGUGCAUUCAUUUGUGUCGGUUGCGAGAACUUGUCCAAACCUUAUCAUCUAGAGGAAGGUGAAGUCGUAACA